AGUUGACAGACAAUCGGCGUAAAGAGUGGUUAAGUACUACACCCUACUAAAGCCAAACACCUUCAAAGCUGUUAUACGCACCCGAAGGUUAGAAGCCCAAUCACGAAAGUGGCUUUAAACUUACUGAACCCACGAAAGCUAGGGCACAAACUGGGAUUAGAUACCCCACUAUGCCUAGCCUUAAACAUUGAUGGUAAUUUACAACUACCAUCCGCCUGGGAACUACGAGCACCAGCUUAAAACCCAAAGGACUUGGCGGUGCUUUAGACCCACCUAGAGGAGCCUGUUCUAGAACCGAUAACCCCCGUUCAACCUCACCCUUCCUUGUUCUUCCCGCCUAUAUACCACCGUCGUCAGCUUACCCUAUGAAGGAUUAAUAGUAAGCAAAACUGGCAAAGCCCAAAACGUCAGGUCGAGGUGUAGCGUAUGGAAGGGGAAGAAAUGGGCUACAUUCACUAACCCAGUGCACACGGAUGACACCCUGAAACAGAUGUCUGAAGGAGGAUUUAGCAGUAAGUAGAAAAUAGAGUGUUCUUCUGAAACUGGCCCUGAAGCGCGCACACACCGCCCGUCACUCUCCCCGAGCUAAAACUCUCAAGUAAAUAAAUAGCUACAUUGCA
rnacentral:rRNA from 1 species